AUCGCUUCUCGGCCUUUUGGCUAAGAUCAAGUGUAGUAUCUUUCUUAUCAGUUUAAUAUCUGAUACGUCCUCUAUCCGAGGACAAUAUAUUAAAUGGAUUUUUGGAGCAGGGAGAUGGAAUAGGAGCUUGCUCCGUCCACUCCACGCAUCGACCCGGUAUUGCAGUACUUCCGGGAACGGUGCACCUCCC
rnacentral:snRNA from 1 species